CAGCUUGUUGGUGAGGUAACGGCUCACCAAGGCGACGAUCCGUAGCUGGUCUGAGAGGACGAUCAGCCACACUGGGACUGAGACACGGCCCAGACUCCUACGGGAGGCAGCAGUGGGGAAUCUUGCGCUAAUGCGGGAAACCGUGACGCAGCGACGCCGCGUGAGGGAAGAAGGCCUUCGGGUUGUAAACCUCUUUCAGGAGGGACGAAGCCACUCGGGUUAAUAGCCCAGAGGGUGACGGUACCUCCAGAAGAAGCCCCGGCUAACUACGUGCCAGCAGCCGCGGUAAUACGUAGGGGGCAAGCGUUGUCCGGAUUUAUUGGGCGUAACGAGCGUGUAGGCGGCUUGGUAGGUCUGCUGCGAAAACUCGAGGCUCAACCUCGAGACGUCGAUGGAAACCAUCUGGCUAGAGUCCGGAAGAGGAGAGUGGAAUUCCUGGUGUAGCGGUGAAAUGCGCAGAUAUCAGGAAGAACACCCGUGGCGAAGGCGGCUCUCUGGUACGUGACUGACGCUGAGACGCGAAAGCGUGGGAGCAAACAGGAUUAGAUACCCUGGUAGUCCACGCCGUAUACGAUGGGUGCUA
rnacentral:rRNA from 1 species